AGAUACCCCAGUAGUCCUAGCCGUAAACGAUGGAUACUAGGUGUUGCCUGUAUCGACCCAGGCAGUGCCGUAGCCAACGCGUUAAGUAUCCCGCCUGGGGAGUACGCACGCAAGUGUGAAACUCAAAGGAAUUGACGGGGGCCCGCACAAGCGGUGGAGUAUGUGGUUUAAUUCGAUGCAGCGCGAAGAACCUUACCAGGGCUUGACAUGUCGCGAAUCCGGGUGAAAGUCUGGAGUGCCUUCGGGAACGCGAACACAGGUGGUGCAUGGCUGUCGUCAGCUCGUGUCGUGAGAUGGUGGGUUAAGUCCCGCAACGAGCGCAACCCUCGUCUUUAGUUGCCAUCAUUAAGUUGGGAACUCUAAAGGGACUGCCGGUGACAAACCGGAGGAAGGUGGGGAUGACGUCAAGUCAGCAUGCCCCUUACGCCCUGGGCUACACACGUACUACAAUGGUUGGGACAGAAGGCAGCGAAGCCGCAAGGUGAAGCCAAUCCCCAAAACCCAGCCUCAGUUCAGAUUGCAGGCUGCAACUCGCCUGCAUGAAGGAGGAAUCGCUAGUAAUCGCAGGUCAGCAUACUGCGGUGAAUCCGUUCCCGGGCCUUGUACACACCGCCCGUCACACCAUGGAAGUUGGCCACGCCCGAAGUCAUUACUCCAACCCUUAAUGGGAGGGGGAUGCCGAAGGUAGGGCUGAUGACUGGGGUGAAGUCGUAACAAGGUAGCCGUACCGGAAGGUGUGGCUGGAUCACCUCCUUU
rnacentral:rRNA from 1 species